GUGGGGAAUAUUGCACGAUGGGCGAAAGCCUGAUGCAGCAACGCCGCGUGAGUGAUGACGGCCUUCGGGUUGUAAAGCUCUGUCUUUGGGGACGAUAAUGACGGUACCCAAGGAGGAAGCCACGGCUAACUACGUGCCAGCAGCCGCGGUAAUACGUAGGUGGCAAGCGUUGUCCGGAUUUACUGGGCGUAAAGGGUGCGUAGGCGGACCUUUAAGUGAGAUGUGAAAUCCCCGAGCUUAACUUGGGGGCUGCAUUUCAAACUGGAGGUCUAGAGUGCAGGAGAGGAGAGUGGAAUUCCUAGUGUAGCGGUGAAAUGCGUAGAGAUUAGGAAGAACACCAGUGGCGAAGGCGACUCUCUGGACUGUAACUGACGCUGAGGCACGAAAGCGUGGGGAGCAAACAG
rnacentral:rRNA from 1 species